rnacentral:lncRNA from 1 species
CAGCAGCGGCGGCCUCUGCGGCGUGGGCAGAGGUAACUUGGCCGUGUGCAAGCCCGUCACCUGAGGGCAGGUGGCCCCACCAGGGAAGCUGCUGGCUUCUGCUGAUACCAGGGGCUACUGGGCCCUCGGACCGAUGGGAGGGGCAAGUAACGACAGAUGGUGCACGGCCUGGGGAAGUUGAGAACUCCACUAGGACACAUACUUUGCUGGAUAUUUUUUCCCCUGUGCGUUCCCUUUGAAGGAGCUCCACUUUACACUGGAUCCAAAAAGACUUUGAUCCAAAAGCAUUGACUUAGAAGGCGAGAUUGCAAAUAUUGCUGGCACGCCUACUUUUAGAUCAAAAUCGGUGAACUCUUAAGAACCCAACAAGUGAAUGUAGUGCAGAACGUAUAUUCAUGAAACUACUCCAUUUCAGCCCUACCUGUUAAAACGGUAGAAGUCAAAAGGCCCGGGUCAAAAGACUUCCCCCAAAUAGGCCCUACUAAAAUAAAUAAACAAGCAUUUUAAUGAAAAUUUGCUUAUAUGACCUCCAGGCCUUACUCCUCUUCAUCAGGAUUUCAUUCUUCUGUCCUUGUAAUCAAAAUUUAUAAGACAGUGGUGAUCAGGGAAAAGGACUUUUAAUGUAUUGUAGGUUGUGGAUGUAAUAUGGCAGCAAAAAGCACUUAUUACUAAUCAGUUUAAUUCAUUAACGUUGAUUGAGUGCCUUCCUACUAUGUGCUAGGCACUGUGCUUGGUGCUGGAAACCCCGAAAUGACUUAAGAACUGGUUCCAACCGUUAAACAGCUUCAGGGCUAUUGGGAAAGAGACACAUAAAUGUUUACUUCAGUAUAACCUGUUAAGGCAGCAGACUGUUCCCAGGGCUCAAUAAGAAUACUGAGAAUUCUCAUGCCACUAUGAAGAAAUACCUGAGACUGGGUAAUUUAUAAACCAAAAGAUUUAAUUGACUCAGUUUCGCAUGGUUUGGGAGACCUCAGGAAACUUACAGUUGUGGUGGAAGGCACCUCUUUACAGGGUUGCAGGAGAGAGAAUGAGUGCCAAGCAAAGGGGGGAAAGCCCCUUGUAAAACCAUCAGAUCUCAUAAGAACUCACUAUCACAAGAACAGCAUGGGAGUAACCGCCCCCAUGAUUCCGUUGUCUCUCACCGGGUCCUUCCCAUGACAUGUGGGGAUUAUGGGAACUACAAUUUAAGAUGAGAUUUGGGUAGUGACACGGUCAAACCAUAUCAAAAGGUAACUUGAUCUUGAGCUAUGGGAUUGGGGCAGUGGCACGACUAGUGGAAGGAGUCUGGCCCAGCAGGUAGGGGCUGUGUCAUGGUGGGUCUUAGGCGCCUUGCUGAAGGGUAUGCACCUUAACUGAAGGGUUUUAAGUCAGGAAGCAGCAUGACUAGGUUUUCGAUAUAGAAAGAUCUCUCUAUGGUCUGAAUGUGCCCCCCAAAAUUGAUGUGUUGGAUACAAUCUCUAAUGCAUCAGUGUUGGAAGGUUGGGUCCUUGGGGAGGUAUUUUCAUCACAAGGGCUCUGCCCUCAUAAAUGGAUUAAUGCUGCCAUAAAAAGAGGUUUGGGGAGUGGGUUCACUCUCUCUUGCUCUUCUGCUCUUUUGCCAUAUAAGAACAUAGCAUUCCUCACCUUUGAAGGACACAGCAUUCAAAGAGCCAUCUUGGAAGCAGAGAAACCAGGCCGUAACCUGCCAGCACUUUGAUCUUGGACUUCCUAGCGUCUAGAACUGUGAGAAAUACAUUUCCGUCCUGUUCUUCUAGUCUCAGGAAUUCCCUUACAGCAACACAAAAUGGACUAAAACACUGCUUGCAGUAUGGAGGAUGGGUUCCAACUGAACUACCAGGAUGUCCAGACGAGACAGGCUGGGGAUGGGCUAGGACUAGAGGAAUACAUAGAAGGUAAAAUUAGUGGGGUUGGGACGGAAAAAGGGAGUUGUGCCAUAUUGCACAUAGACUUGUGGUAUGGGUGUCUGGAAAAACACCUGAGAUUGGUAAUUCAAGAGGAGUGUUUUGAGGUGUGUGAGUCUGUCUGUAAGGAGAAUGUAUGUCCAACAUACAAAUUAUGUUGUAGAAGCUUAAGAAAGAAGCAUUACAGAAAGAAGCAACUAUUUAACCUACUCUCAAAAGGUUCAACAAAGCCCAGAAGACUUGACCAUGUUCAUAGGCAGAGAAGAAAGAUCAGCAAAAAGUAAAAAAAAAAAAAAGACAAAAGGAAAACCAGGAGAAUUGUUAGAGAAAAUUAUGACAAGGGGACAAGUCUGAAGCUCCUGUGGAGGAUGGCCCCAGCUGCCACAAGGGGAGUGUAAAAGGAGGUGAGAAAAUACAACCUCAUGUAAAGAACAAAAUUACAUCAUGUACCACGUAUUUAUUUUUAAGGGCAUCAUUAAAGCUCUCCUUUUAUAAUGUAAAUGAAACAAAAAAUUUUUAAUGUAAUAAAAUAUACAUAAAAUGUACCAUCUUGACCAUUUUGAAAUGUACAGUUUAGUAGUGAAAUACUUUCACAUUGUUGUGCAGCCAAUCUCCAGAACUCUUUUCAUCUUGCAAAGCUGAAACUCUGUACUCAUUAAACAACCACUCCAUCUCCCAACCCCCUGACAACCACCAUUCUACUUUGCUCCUAUAAAUCUGACUACUCUAGGUACCUAAUAAAUGGAAUCAUAUGGUAUUUG